rnacentral:rRNA from 1 species
UACGAAGGGGGCUAGCGUUGUUCGGAAUUACUGGGCGUAAAGGGCGCGUAGGCGGCCUUCUAAGUCGAACGUGAAAUCCCCGGGCUCAACCCGGGAACUGCGUCCGAGACUGAAAGGCUUGAAUCCGGGAGAGGGAUGUGGAAUUCCAGGUGUAGCGGUGAAAUGCGUAGAUAUCUGGAGGAACAUCGGUGGCGAAGGCGGCAUCCUGGACCGGUAUUGACGCUGAGGCGCGAAAGCCAGGGGAGCAGACGGG